UACGAAGGGGGCUAGCGUUGCUCGGAAUCACUGGGCGUAAAGGGUGCGUAGGCGGGUUUUAAGUCAGAGGUGAAAUCCUGGAGCUCAACUCCAGAACUGCCUUUGAUACUGAAAGUCUUGAGUAUGGGAGAGGUGAGUGGAACUGCGAGUGUAGAGGUGAAAUUCGUAGAUAUUCGCAAGAACACCAGUGGCGAAGGCGGCUCACUGGCCCAUUACUGACGCUGAGGCACGAAAGCGUGGGGAG
rnacentral:rRNA from 1 species